GUACUACUGAGGUGUCCCAAACUAGGACGAAACAACCGUCCGGUAC
rnacentral:hammerhead_ribozyme from 1 species